rnacentral:rRNA from 1 species
AACGAACGCUGGCGGCAGGCUUAACACAUGCAAGUCGAGCGCCCCGCAAGGGGAGCGGCAGACGGGUGAGUAACGCGUGGGAAUCUACCCAUCUCUACGGAAUAACGCAUGGAAACGUGUGCUAAUACCGUAUACGUCCUUCGGGAGAAAGAUUUAUCGGAGAUGGAUGAGCCCGCGUUGGAUUAGCUAGUUGGUGGGGUAAAGGCCUACCAAGGCGACGAUCCAUAGCUGGUCUGAGAGGAUGAUCAGCCACACUGGGACUGAGACACGGCCCAGACUCCUACGGGAGGCAGGAGUGGGGAAUAUUGGACAAUGGGGGCAAGCCUGAUCCAGCCAUGCCGCGUGAGUGAUUAAGGCCCUAGGGUUGUAAAGCUCUUUCACCGGUGAAGAUAAUGACGGUAACCGGAGAAGAAGCCCCGGCUAACUUCGUGCCAGCCGCCGCCGUAACAC